rnacentral:rRNA from 1 species
GCUGCCCCCUUUCUUCUUUCCUAAUACAUGCAAGUCGAGCGAACAGACGAGGAGCUUGCUCCUCUGACGUUAGCGGCGGACGGGUGAGUAACACGUGGAUAACCUACCUAUAAGACUGGGAUAACUUCGGGAAACCGGAGCUAAUACCGGAUAAUAUAUUGAACCGCAUGGUUCAAUAGUGAAAGACGGUUUUGCUGUCACUUAUAGAUGGAUCCGCGCCGCAUUAGCUAGUUGGUAAGGUAACGGCUUACCAAGGCAACGAUGCGUAGCCGACCUGAGAGGGUGAUCGGCCACACUGGAACUGAGACACGGUCCAGACUCCUACGGGAGGCAGCAGUAGGGAAUCUUCCGCAAUGGGCGAAAGCUUGACGGAGCAACGCCGCGUGAGUGAUGAAGGUCUUCGGAUCGUAAAACUCUGUUAUUAGGGAAGAACAAAUGUGUAAGUAACUAUGCACGUCUUGACGGUACCUAAUCAGAAAGCCACGGCUAACUACGUG